rnacentral:rRNA from 1 species
UACGUAGGGUGCAAGCGUUAAUCGGAAUUACUGGGCGUAAAGCGUGCGCAGGCGGUUAUGUAAGACAGAUGUGAAAUGCCCGGGCUUAACCUGGGAACUGCAUUUGUGACUGCAUGGCUAGAGUGUGUCAGGGGGGGGUAGAAUUCCACGUGUAGCAGUGAAAUGCGUAGAUAUGUGGAGGAAUACCGAUGGCGAAGGCAGCCCCCUGGGUUAACACUGACGCUCAGGCACGAAAGCGUGGGGAGCAAACAGG